rnacentral:misc_RNA from 1 species
AGUCGUAACAAGGUUUCCGUAGGUGAACCUGCGGAAGGAUCAUUAUUGAAUUAAAUAUCCAACCCUGGUGUGCUGCGCGCGCUGUCGCUUGCGACGUGUGUGUGCAGUCACUAUCCAACCCCUUGUGAACCGGUCUUAGAUGGAUGGGAUAUGUGGUUGAUGCUGGCGAUGUCAAAGUCGUCUCGUCGUCACAUCCCGCCGUCGCUAUUAUUAACCUGAUUUUAUUUGUAAUUGUGAUUGUCUCAACGCGGCCACGGCUAUCACACGGUAGUGUGACGGCUCGAGCUCAAGUAGAAAAAUUGUACGAACAACUUUUAACAAUGGAUCUCUUGGCUCUC